rnacentral:sRNA from 1 species
ACACUGAAAGGAGGUGAUCCUGAGUUGAGUUCCAUCAGGAUGCGUGAGGUGGCUGCUCGCUAGAGCCGCCCCUGCCUGCGCAGGGUGAGGCCCCUGGCCUCCGGCAGGCGAAAUCCAUAGCAGUCACCCGGCCCGCGGGCUCACCGGUACAUCCCCGGUGCCUCGGCGCCUGGCCAGUGCACGGGCCGGCGCGAGGAGCAGCCCGCGGGCUGUCUGCU